rnacentral:snRNA from 1 species
GUGCUCACUUCGGCAGCACACACACUGAAGCUGCAGCGACACAGAGGCCAGCGCGGCCCCUGCGCGAGGAGGACACGCAGGGUCGUGAGCUGCUCCACAUUUCA